GCCUUUGCCUGCCAUUGUAAUUACUUUCUUUCCUAAAGUGACAAUCUCAGGACCAUCCAUGCACAAUUAUCUCAUUGUUUUUCAGACUAGCUCUAGAAACUGCAGUAAUUAAACUCUGAUCACUGCAUUAGAGCCUUAAUUAUUGCAACUUUGGGAAAAGAAAAAACAACAAAAGAUGAAAUUAAAAUGGUUGCUAGCUACACAGGUAUGGUUAUUCUAUACAGUUGUAGGACAUGGUCAAGUGUGAGAGUACAGUCCUGGGAAUCUCUAAAUGACUCCCAGAGACACAGUAGCAUCCAGAAUGCAGUUGUGCAUCAGUUUGCUUAGUCUGGCAUCAGAGGGGGUCUGACUGCUCUCUCUAAGCAAAGCAAAUGAGGAAACAUCAGUCAGAGGAGAAAACGAUCUAAACUGAAUGACAGCAUCAGUGUCAGAAUAGAAGUGACUAAGCUAACAGUCAGUGCAUCAAUGCUGGAAGUAAGAAUGUCUCUGAUUGCUAAGCACAGAGACUUCAAGAACCAACUAUGGAGGUAAACACAACUGUUAAAUAAUUAUGACAUAUUGUCAUGGCAGGGGAUAGGAGCUGAUGCCUCUAUGUUGCCUGUUCAAGCCCUGAGAUCCUGAAAAUACACGGACAGCACUAACUGAAGUUCUUGAGUGGCCCUGAAGUUGUCUGGUCAAUGCAGUGGCAUUUUUGCAUGAGCGUGAGUUUUGCAUUAGAUGCCAACCAUCUAAUAAGCUAACAGAGUCAACCUCACAUCCAAAUGGAAACUUUCCAACCUAUCAACCAAAUAAAGCUGCCUAAAAUAAAAGCCAGCAGAGCUAGCAUGUUCACCUAUAGAAGCUGGGCUCAAAGAAACUUCUCAAAAAAAUGCAAAUGUGAAACACUAGCAAAAAAAGGCAGAAACAUACAUAUCACCAAUCUGCUCCUUAACUAUGAACACUUCCAAUGCCGUUAUCAAAAAACUGGAUUGAGAAUACAAUGUAUGUUCAUCUAAAUUACUUGUCAACAACCCAGAGAAGAUGAAGAUUCAGUUGGGUUAAAGAGGAGCAGACUUUAAGUAUCAGCUUCACAUAAAGAAUACCACAAUAAUAAUCUCUUCAUCCCUUCAGCAGCUUCACAGAGGUGUUGAACAAUAGAUUUGAAAAGAACAAACUCUACAAAAGUUCACAUGAAUAAGGUGAGAGAAGAGAUAAAAAUAAGUACUGGUUAUGGUUUCUCAAACAAGAUGUCUCUUCUGCUACUGAUGUCCAUUUAUGAACCUUAGCUGUAAAUUAACCUAACUUCUGAAUAAAACCUGAGAUUCCCUCCACUUUAGUCCAUUUAGGCUGCUCAUCUAAAAUGAAUACAAAACAUGCCCCUCAAAAUAAAUGAGAAAAAAAAAAAAAAAGACUGCACUACCUUUUAUUGAUGAAAUUAUAUUUUAGAUUAUGUUCUAGAAGAAAAUAUUUUUCUAUCUUAUUUCCAUUUUCAUUUCUGAAGAUUCCUGUUCUGUCAGAUGUGAUUAGCUGCACCUUUUGCCAGGAGACAUUUUGUGCAUACAUGAAAGCAUGAGUGCAUUUGUGUAGACACACUUGCAUACACCUUUAAAAUCUAUUCCUCUAACCUAUCCAGUUGCUGAAAGAUUAUAAAUGCCUUAAGCACAGAAACCGUUUAUAGUGAAUAAACAUUUGUAUACAGAAAACAAACACAC
ensembl:lncRNA